GAUGAACGCUAGCGGCAGGCUUAAUACAUGCAAGUCGAGGGGCAGCAUGAUUGUAGCAAUACAAUUGAUGGCGACCGGCAAACGGGUGCGGAACACGUACACAACCUUCCAAUAAGUGGGGAAUAGCCCAGAGAAAUUUGGAUUAAUACCCCGUAACAUAACGAUGUGGCAUCACAUUGUUAUUAUAGAUUUUUCGCUUAUUGAUGGGUGUGCGGCUGAUUAGAUAGUUGGCGGGGUAACGGCCCACCAAGUCUACGAUCAGUAGCUGAUGUGAGAGCAUGAUCAGCCACACGGGCACUGAGACACGGACCCGACUCCUACGGGAGGCAGCAGUAAGGAAUAUUGGACAAUGGACGCAAGUCUGAUCCAGCCAUGCCGCGUGAAGGAUUAAGGUCCUCUGGAUUGUAAACUUCUUUUAUAAGGGACGAAGAAAGGCUUUUCUAAGUCGUCUGACGGUACCUUAUGAAUAAGCACCGGCUAACUCCGUGCCAGCCGCCGCAGUAACAC
rnacentral:rRNA from 1 species